GAUGAACGCUGGCGGCGUGCCUAAUACAUGCAAGUCGAGCGAAUGGAUUAAGGGCUUGCUCUUAUGAAGUUAGCGGCGGACGGGUGAGUAACACGUGGGUAACCUGCCCAUAAGACUGGGAUAACUCCGGGAAACCGGGGCUAAUACCGGAUAACAUUUUGAACCGCAUGGUUCGAAAUUGAAAGGCGGCUUCGGCUGUCACUUAUGGAUGGACCCGCGUCGCAUUAGCUAGUUGGUGAGGUAACGGCUCACCAAGGCAACGAUGCGUAGCCGACCUGAUAGGGUGAUCGGCCACACUGGUACUGAGACACGGCCCAGACUCCUACGGGAGGCAGCAGUAGGGAAUCUUCCGCAAUGGACGAAAGUCUGACGGAGCAACGCCGCGUGAGUGAUGAAGGCUUUCGGGUCGUAAAACUCUGUUGUUAGGGAAGAACAAGUGCUAGUUGAAUAAGCUGGCACCUUGACGGUACCUAACCAGAAAGCCACGGCUAACUACGUGCCAGCAGCCGCGGUAA
rnacentral:rRNA from 1 species